CCUACGGGAGGCAGCAGUGAGGAAUAUUGGUCAAUGGGCGAGAGCCUGAACCAGCCAAGUCGCGUGAGGGAGUACUGCCCUAUGGGUUGUAAACCUCUUUUGUCGGGGAGCAAAAGCCGGACGUGUCCGGCUGUUAGAGUACCCGAAGAAAAAGCAUCGGCUAACUCCGUGCCAGCAGCCGCGGUAAUACGGAGGAUGCGAGCGUUGUCCGGAAUUACUGGGUGUAAAGGGAGCGCAGGCGGGAAGCCAAGUCAGCUGUGAAAACUACGGGCUUAACUUGUAGACUGCAGUUGAAACUGGUGUUCUUGAGUGAAGUAGAGGUUGGCGGAAUUCCGAGUGUAGCGGUGAAAUGCGUAGAUAUUCGGAGGAACACCGGUGGCGAAGGUGGCCAACUGGGCUUUAACUGACGCUGAGGCUCGAAAGUGUGGGGAGCAAACAGGAUUAGAUACCCCUGUAGUC
rnacentral:rRNA from 1 species